GCCGAAGUGGCGGAAUUGGCAGACGCGCUAGGUUCAGGACCUAGUGAGGAUUUUUCCUCGUGGGGGUUCGAGUCCCCCCUUCGGCACCA
rnacentral:tRNA from 1 species